CUACCGUGUCCCGGGCGCGUGGGCUGCCCAGCCGCUGUUACCAUGCGCUAGGGAUCCGGCAAAGAAUCAUUACCAGUUCUUCAGCCCUUUAUCAGAAGCCCCAGCUUCUGCAGGCUGCCGGCCAAGGAGAGCCACUAUGCUGACUUGCAGAUGAUUCUUUCAUGGAGUCUGACAGCAGGAAUGCAGCAGCCUGGAUUCUUACACUAGGAAAGGCCUUGGAAAAUUUUGAUGAAAAUUAAAUAGUUCCACUGCUAUUGGGAGUCAAGAACUGAUGGAGGAUCUCUGUGAAGAUCAUAACUCAGGAAGGAGAAAGAACAUUUUGGUGUAAUAAUGAAGCAUAUUCCUUUUCAGGGGUACAUACCCACUGUUACACUUUAAGCAAGAAAUAUUCUCAACAAAGAAGCUGCAUGCAACUCUUGGGAGCCCAGCUGUGGCGUAGCUUCCAUGUGCUGCCGAGGUUUCUGCCGCAGGUUCCCGGACACAGCUUCCCUGUCCCGGGCGCGUGAGUUGGCCAGCCACUGUAACCAUGUGCAAGGGAUCUGGCAAAGAAGUAAGGAAUUUGUCCAUUUACUCCGUGCUUGGCAGGAACAGUUUAUUGCUCAUGCGGUGCAGUUUGGUGGAAAGACACGACCACUCCCGGCACUCACAUGGGAGAAAAUGGCGCCAGGGUUCUGGUGGUGUAGGAUUUUAUGCGGGCGGGAUGAGAGGACCCACAGCCUCCCAUCCAAUAGAGGCGGCUGCCAUGGCGGUGACGCCAUGGCGACGACAGCGACCAACCAAGAUGGGGUUGGGGCAGUUCCUGGGUCCCUGGGUUAAUGGGGAUGAGGGAUCGGGGUGACUGGCAGGAAACUCUCUGGACAGGAUGGGGAGUGUCUGCAGGAAUGCAUCCAAUAGCAUGCAGCAAGGAGCGAACCACCACGGGGAGGGGAAAACACAGGGGGUGCACAGGAUUACAGAACUUGGCUAUCUAACAUAUAUUAAAAACCCCUAAUCUAAACCCAAACCCCAGGAUGCAACACACAGGGUGUAAUGCAGCACCUGGCAGAGCUGCUCAGCUCAGUGUAUGAACCAGCCCACCCUCCACCUUGUGUAGUAUGCACAACUGAAGCAACAGUGGGAUGCACAGUUAGAAAUUGUCAGGCAGCACUGCAGCCAGUAGACAUACAUUAUUGCCCCCUUUGGUUUUCAUGAAG